CAAAUGAACAUGGGAGAGGCAUGGAUAUGUGUAGCUUUAACCCUUGUUAUUUAGGCAAGAAAUACAGAUAUGCUUAUGCUUGUGGUGCUAAGAGACCUUGUAAUUUCCCCAACACUCUUACAAAGGUCACUUCAUUCUCUUCUUUUUCCUUUAUUUUCUCCACUAAUAGUGCUUACAGCUGAUGUUAAUUUUUACCUACUCAAAAUAUUUUUGCAGAUUGACUUGUUUGAGAAAAAGGCCAAGAAUUGGUACGAUGAGGGUGCUGUGCCUUCUGAACCAUUCUUUGUCGCUCGACCUGGUGCAACCGAGGAAGACGACGGUAAUUAAUUUAUCAAUACAUCUAUAUAUAAUAAUCCCAAUGUGGUAGCUUUAACCCUUGUUAUUUGGGCAAGAAAUACAGAUAUGCUUAUGCUUGUGGUGCUAAGAGACCUUGUAAUUUCCCCAACACUCUUACAAAGGUCACUUCAUUCUCUUCUUUUUCCUUUAUUUUCUCCACUAAUAGUGCUUACAGCUGAUGUUAAUUUUUACCUACUCAAAAUAUUUUUGCAGAUUGACUUGUUUGAGAAAAAGGCCAAG
rnacentral:lncRNA from 1 species